UACGGGAAGGCAGCAGUGGGGAAUAUUGCACAAUGGGCGAAAGCCUGAUGCAGCUAUGCCGCGUGUAUGAAGAAGGCCUUAGGGUUGUAAAGUACUUUCAUCGGGGAGGAAAAAACAAAACUAAUAAUUUUAUUUCUUGACGUUACCCGAAAAAGAAGCACCGGCUAACUCCGUGCCAGCAGCCGCGGUAAUACGGAGGGUGCUAGCGUUAAUCAGAAUUACUGGGCGUAAAGAGCACGUAGGUGGUUUUUUUAAGUCAGAUGUGAAAUCCCCGGGCUUAACCUAGGAACUGCAUUUUGAAACUGAAAUACUAGAGUAUCGUAGAGGGAGGUAGAAUUCUAGGUGUAGCGGUGAAAUGCGUAGAUAUCUGGAGGAAUACCUGUGGCGAAAGCGGCCUCCUAAACGAAUACUGACACUGAGGUGCGAAAGCGUGGGGAGCAAACAGGGAUUAGAUACC
rnacentral:rRNA from 1 species